UGCGUAGGCGGUGCGGUAAGUCUGUUGUGAAAUCUCCGGGCUCAACUCGGAGCCUGCAACGGAAACUGCCGUGCUGGAGUAUGGGAGAGGUGAGUGGAAUUCCCGGUGUAGCGGUGAAAUGCGUAGAUAUCGGGAGGAAGACCUGUGGCGAAAGCGGCUCACUGGACCAUUACUGACGCUGAUGCACGAAAGCUAGGGGAGCAAACAGGAUUAGAUACCCUGGUAGUCCUAGCCCUAAACGAUGAUCGCUUGGUGUGACAGGUACCCAAUCCUGUUGUGCCGGAGCUAACGCGUUAAGCGAUCCGCCUGGGGAGUACGGUCGCAAGGCUAGAA
rnacentral:rRNA from 1 species